rnacentral:lncRNA from 1 species
UUGUAUCUAGAUCACACCUAAUUUUCUUCCCUAAAAGCUCUGACCUUGAACCUUUAUGACUGGAAUAUAUGAGGUUGAUACUGCAAAUUAUGAGGUUGAUUGUUGAAUCUCGAACCCUUUUCGGCUAGCAUUGUCAAAUGAUCAUUUCUUCCUUCCAUCAUACCUAACUUUCUCUGACUUUCUUCUUGAACUGUCAUUGCAUAAG